GCCUGGCUUGUGCAUCAGAACUACCGGCAGAUCAUUUGUAAGAAAAGGCUCUGCUUUUCCCUCGUCUCAGGGAUUCACACUCCGGAGCACCUUGGGGAACUUGGAGCCACUGACGAAAGUAAUGCCUGAGAGAGUGGCAUCAGCAGCCGCAGCGAAGCUGGUCCAGGAAAAGGAAGGAAGGAAGCCUGUUCCUUUAAAAGCUGAAACUUUAACUUGCACCUAAUUCUGAACAGAAAGUGAGACGACAUUAGUUAUCUUCUCAAACUCCAGAGCAUAGUAUAUCUUCAAAGAGGCCCUUCUGCCUAU
rnacentral:lncRNA from 1 species